rnacentral:rRNA from 1 species
UACGUAGGGUGCAAGCGUUAAUCGGAAUUACUGGGCGUAAAGCGUGUGCUGGCGGUUUUGUAAGUCUGUCGUGAAAGCCCCGGGCUCAACCUGGGAAUUGCGAUGGAGACUGCAAGGCUUGAAUCUGGCAGAGGGGGGUAGAAUUCCACGUGUAGCAGUGAAAUGCGUAGAGAUGUGGAGGAACACCGAUGGCGAAGGCAGCCCCCUGGGUCAAGAUUGACGCUCAUGCACGAAAGCGUGGGGAGCAAACAGG